GGCCUACCAUGGUGGUAACGGGUAACGGGGUGUUAGGGCACGACACCGGAGAGGGAGCCUGAGAAACGGCUACCACAUCCAAGGAUGGCAGCAGGCGCGCAAAUUACCCAAUCCCGACACGGGGAGGUAGUGACAAUAAAUAACAAUACGGGGUUCUUAUGGAUCUCGUAAUUGGAAUGAGUACAAUUUAAAUCUCUUAACGAGGAACAAUUGGAGGGCAAGUCUGGUGCCAGCAGCCGCGGUAAUUCCAGCUCCAAUAGCGUAUAUUAAAGUUGUUGCAGUUAAAAAGCUCGUAGUUGAAUUUCGGGGUCAGUAGGUUGGUCAUGCCACUGGUAUGUACUGGUCUCACUGAUUCCUCCUUCCUGAUGAACUGUAAUGCCAUUAAUUUGGUGUUGCAGGGAAUCUGGACUGUUACUUUGAAAAAAUUAGAGUGUUUAAAGCAGGCUAACGCCUGAAUACAUUAGCAUGGAAUAAUGAAAUAGGACGUUCGAUCCUAUUUUGUUGGUUUCUAGGAUUGACGUAAUGAUUAAUAGGGAUAGUUGGGGGCAUUAGUAUUCAAUUGUCAGAGGUGAAAUUCUUGGAUUUAUUGAAGACUAACUACUGCGAAAGCAUUUGCCAAGGAUGUUUUCAUUAAUCAAGAACGAAAGUUAGGGGAUCGGAGACGAUCAGAUACCGUCGUAGUCUUAACCAUAAACUAUGCCGACUAGGGAUCGGAUGAUGUUAAUUUUUUAAUGACCCAUUCGGCGCCUUACG
rnacentral:rRNA from 1 species